CCAAAUUCCCAUUAAAAAAAUAUAGAUAAUCUUUUAUUUUAUUGUGCAGAUCUCAAAGACCAGAGGUUGGACAUAAGAGGUCAAUAUAUUCUACUUCCUACUGUUUUUAUAGUGAUGUGGCAGAUUUUAAAUGUUAUUUAAAAUAUUGUAUGUAGUGGGACAUCUGUAUGAAGUGCUACAGAAAUACUAUGAUGAGUUCUUCUGAUUAAUUCUUGAUUGUCUGAUUCUAGAACCCAACUGUUAUGUAGCGAUGUUGGUGCACCGGAUACUGUUGGCCUGCUGUCUGCUUGUGAUUUUAAUCCUAUCUUUAACAAGAAAUAAGAAAAAACUCGGACGUUGUUGCCCAUGACAUGGUGAUAACACAACCAGUUGUUAAUCAGCUUGAAAAUAUUGCAUUGUUUAUUCAGUUAGGAGGAUUUAAUAGUGUAUCCAUUAUUCAGCAUCAACAUCUCGUGUCUUAGAGAUUGGUUAAAAUCAGUACUACCAUCAGAUUCUUGGCCUGCUUGUCACCAUUCUCAUGUUUGAUUUCUUUGUUUGUUUGCAAACUUAAUAAAUAACUUAAAUUAGGCAUAUAAUAUGCAGACUGGAAAAUGUUAUACUGAAUAUUUUUUGAUGGUUUAAUAUGAUUAAUAAAGUUUCUUUGUUGGAAAUAAAUUGGGAAUUCCGUCGUGAUUUCUGUAUCAGGUUGAUCAAAAAAUAUCUGAAAGGACAUGUUUAUAACACGCAGGACCUUUCAUUACAAAAUAGCCAUACGGUAAACAUAAAUUCAUGAAGGUAUCGGGAUCAUUUGCUGAAGCAAUAUAUGUAUCGUCAGGUUGGCUCAAAACCAAUUGUCAAUUCACAACAACUAUUUAGCACCCUGCCAAGCCCCAGACCAUCUCAGAACUUGGCUGACAGCGUGUGGACCUGCCCUGGAGGGAGUGACAUGGGUGGUUCCUGAGUAGUGACGUUCAAUAUGUUGUGUUUUCUUGCUGUUUUGGCGAUUGUAGUGUAAAUGGUUUUACAUAUUGCUGUGAGCUUAAAGGUUGCAUUGACUAUUCUUUGGGUGCUGUGGUAACGCAGGCUACCUUUGCCCCAGUCUAGCUGAAGUGCGAUGCCUCCCACUCAUCUACUAAUCUUGCCCCCAUUACAGGAAGGGGACAGAAUGAGAGAUGCAUAGCAUCCUCUGGUGCAGUUGGUAGCAGUAGCAUCGGCGUUCAAACCACAGUGCUGACAUAGUUAGCACAGGAUGAGCGCUCAUAACAGGAUCUGUGACACCAGGCAGUUAAAACCACAAACAUAAAGGCCAUCCUGUGACGGACACUAGACAGUCUACACUUUCAUGCCUCAAAUCAUCUGUUUGUUAAUCAUUUCUUAUUGUUAUCACUUAUGUUCACACAUAAACACACCUAUUCACACACACACACACACACACACACACACACACACACACACACACACACACACGUGAUGCCAAUGAGAUUGAAUCUACUCUAUGUAAGUCAUUUCACAAUCUAUGUUGUAGCUGCAUCUCCUUGGUAGUAUCCAUCUUAUUCUGCCUCAAUUUGCAUAGCCUGUGACUUUGUGGUGACUCGCAAUUUUCACAUUGGGGGUAUCAGCAAAGACAGUGACAGGUUAACAUGCAAUUGACCCACAUGUGCACAGUUUAAUUGACAUCAAACCCAGUCUGUGAUGACAUCCUUCUUUCUUUGCUGUAUCACAGCCAUUGUAAAAAAGAACAGCGUCCUUCCUACAGUGGUUUGAUUUUGAAAACUGGAGCUCAUCAAAAUGCAGGACAUCGUCUCAAUAUGUAGGACGCGGGACAAGGGAUAAAAAUGCUAUGUCGCCACUUAAAUCUACAUCAAGGGACCCACUCAUGAAUAAAGUGAACUUUAUUAAGGUAAAACGAGUGCAAGUUAUUUUACAAAAGAAAAGUCAGGACCCCAUAUUGUCUGCAAAUCUUUGAUAUAGGGCAGAGCAGUCACAGUCAAUAUGUUUCAUUAAUCUAAAUAUCGGUUACAUAACUACAUUUACCUUUCCUUCAACUCAUGUCGUUUUCUGGCUGCCAUUUUACAACAGUAGAUCAAGAGUUAGAUGACAAAAAUACAUGAUACCAAGACACUGGAAAACUUUUUUAAUGCCCCUGUUCAAUGUAAUAGGCUGAUGUUAAGCGGCUUCAGGCUAUUCCUCGUCUCUGGGCAUAUAUAGCCGCUCAAAUAAAGAUAGUAAAUGCUAUCCCAGCUAUCCUAACCUAUGAACUUAAAAUCCAACUGAAAACUAAGAGGAAAUAGUAUUAGCCGUAUUGUAAUGUAAGGGUUACUCUCAGUCCUACUUAUUUGCAAACUUCUAAAAAGAUUGAAGAAAAAAGAUGCGGGCGUGGUUAGAACCAACGCGCGUUAUCAGAAUAAGAAAAAAUGUUAAAGAAUGCUGAACCCAGUACCAUGUUAUCUAAACUGUUCAAUCUAACAUGAACUACACCUCACAGAUAACUAAGCAGAUCAUUGGAUUGCUUCAUGCGGUAUCUCUCAGUUCUAGCCAAUCACAGUUCACCUUUGGUAUGUCAAUGUGGGUCUUCAAAGUCAAAAUCAUUCAUUUGAGACAGUACAGCGCAAAAAAUCACAAUGUUAGCAAGAUUGUUUGCUAUGAUACUUCUAAGAGAGGCAUAUUGAGACGCAAGAGAUUCCUCGUUGGAUCACUGUGAAUACUGCUGAACUUGGAGAUACUGUUAGUCUAGAUUGUGCAGCUUUACCAGACGAUAGUGUAAGGAUUUACUGGUAUAAACAAUCUCUUGGAUAUGUUCCCCAAACAGUCGCUGCUAAAACAUAUGAAAAGAUGACAUUCAAUCCACCCUUUCAUUUGAGAUUCACAGUGGGAUCGGACUUUAAUUUGACAAUCAGAAACGUAACUAAAGGCGAUGAAGCAAACUAUUUCUGUCAACAAGGUGUUUUGAACAGUUGGAACAAGGGCACAUUUUUA